GGAUAAAUUAAUAUAAAUAAAUUAAAUAUAUUUACACUAUUUUGUCUACUCCAUUUCUAUUUCUACUUUUGCCUUAUUACUAUCAAUCCUAUGUAGGAACACUUUUCCUUUUGUCUUUGCAAAGCAAAGGAAAAGUAGUAUGCUCCUCUCCCUCCCUAAAGGAGGGUCCUAGGGCUAAAUAUAACUGCAAAGGUGUAUAUUAAAUAUGGAAAAACAAAAAAAGUAAAAUAACUUAUUUAUAAAUAACUAUCACUCAAUCCAGUCUUAAAUAAAAAAAAAGAAAAAACAAUAUAAUAAAAAUAAAAAUAAUAAUACAAAUUACUAUUUAUAUAAAUAAAUACUUUCUCCUUAUUAUUUAAAUAGAGGGAUUGGCUAUGCAAGAACUGGUA
rnacentral:rRNA from 1 species